ACUUUUGUACCGGAAAUGAUCUAAAACGGUGACUGAACUGUUAGUGCACCCUCUGUCAGGACAAACUAGAAGGAGUGUUGAUUGCUGGAACAAGCUGGAAGCUGUUUUAGAAGACUAAAGUGAAGAUCAAGUAAUUGAUGCUGACGUGGAUAUGCCGCCAAAUGAACGAAUGACGUGGAGAUCACAACAGGAUGAGUUCAGUUUGGAGAGGAAAUAUUCACGCGAAGAUUUGUAGUGAUCCAAGAUCUCGAAGGCUAACCUAGAAGACCAAAGACCUCGAUAGUAUAAAUAGAGGUGCUAAGGUUCUUGUUAGACUUGGCCGUGAUUGUGAGUGAAAAGCUAGUGCAACGCUUUUCAUUAUUAGAGACUAAGGUUUAGUCUGAUUGGAAUUCUAGAGAGAUCAAAGAGUGUGUUCUUGUGAUCUGCUCUUGUGUGUUUAGGGAAAUCUCAGGUGACAAGCUAAAGUAGUUUAGAUCUUGUGUAAAUCCAAUUAAAGGAGUUGUAAA
rnacentral:sRNA from 1 species